AAUUCAGUAUUCAUUCAUUACUGUUUCCUCAACCCUCCCUCUCCAUCCGUACCCAACUCCCUCCUUUUCAAACCCCACCUCACCUUCCCCUCUCCCACUCACCGCAUCCCGGAUCUCUCGCACCUCCUACGUCCCCCGGAAGCAGCCUCGUCACGAUGCCAGAAACGGUGGACGAUGAUCUCUUCGAGAAGUUGCAGCAAACCCUAGAGUCCGAUCCCAACAACCCAAACAACCAUUACAACCUCGCCCUCUUCUUGUGGAAGAAGGGAGAAGAAUCGGAAGAAAGAGAAGAAUCCAAGCGGUUCAAGGAGCGAGCAGCUGAGCAUUUCUUGACCUCCGCAAAGCUGAACCCGAAUGAAGGCGCCGCGUUCCGCUUCCUCGGGCAUUUCUACGGCCGGGUGGCUGCGGACGCCCAGAGGGCUUCCAAGUGCUACCAGAGGGCUGUCACCCUCAAUCCCGAGGAUUCUGAAGCAGGAGAGGGACUAUGCGAUUUGCUGGAUGGAGAGGGAAAGGAGAACUUGGUGAUUGCUGUGUGCAAGGAGGCCUCCGACAAGUCUCCGAAAGCUUUUUGGGCAUUUCGGAGGUUAGGAUACUUUCAGGUCCAUCAAAGUAGAUUGUCAGAGGCAGUACAAAGUCUUCAGCAUGCAAUACGAGGUUAUCCAGCUUGCGCUGAUUUGUGGGAAGCGCUUGGUCUUGCGUACCACCGAUUGGGUAUGUUUACUGCAGCCAUAAAGUCAUAUGGGCGAGCCAUUGAGCUGGAGGGAUCGAGAAUUUUUGCACUAGUAGAGAGCGGGAACAUCCAGCUAAUGCUUGGCUCUUUUAGAAAAGGGGUUGAGCAGUUCUCAUCUGCCCUGGAAACAGUACCUAACAAUUUAGCUGCACAAUUUGGGCUUGCUUCUGGGUUACUUGGUUGGUCAAGGCAGUGUAUUAGUUCUGGAGCCUUUGGUUGGGGAGCUACUCUAUUGAAGGAAGCUGCGGAAGCAGCAAAAGCUUGUACGUCUUUGUCGGGAAAUCAAUAUUCUGCUUGGAAGUUGCAGGGAGAUAUACAGAUUGCCUAUGCGAAAUGCUUUCCAUGGGAAGACAAAGAGGACAGCCCAGAAGUCGAUGAGAAGAUCUUUAAAGUUUCUAUUGAUCAGUGGAAAAAUACAUGCCUUCUAGCGGCAAAUAGUGCAAAGUGCUCAUAUCAACGGGCUUUACACCUAGCUCCCUGGCAGGCUAAUUUAUACGCUGAUAUUGCAAUGUCAGUGGAUCUUAUCUAUUCUAUGGAAGAGAAAAAGGAACCCGACCCUGCUGUUUGGCAGCUUCCUGAGAAAAUGUGUUUGGGUGCCUUGCUGCUGGAGCCGAUUAAUAAAGAGUUCUGGGUCAUAUUGGGCUGUUUGUCUAGUAAUCAUGCUCUAAAGCAGCAUUCUUUUAUUAGAGGCCUGCAGUUGGACAUAUCUCUUUCAGAAGCAUGGGCAUAUCUUGGAAAGUUCUACGAAAGUUUAGGUGAGAAGCUAUUGGCAAGGCAAGCAUUUGAUCGUGCUAGAAGCAUUGAUCCUUCUUUAGCCUUGCCAUGGGCUGGCAUGUCUGUUGGCUAUCAGGACAGGACUAGCUUGGCAAAUGAGUCUUUUGAAAGCUGCCUAAGGGCUGUGCAGAUUCUGCCUCUUGCAGAGUUUCAAGUUGGCCUUGGAACAAUUGCGAUUCUUUCUGGUCAUCUUCUGUCCCCUCAGGUAUUUGGAGCCAUAAGGCAGGCUGUUCAGCGGGCGCCUCAUUAUCCUGAAUCACAUAAUUUAAAUGGCUUAGUAUGUGAAGCGCAAUCAGAUUAUCAGUCUGCGGUGACUGCAUACAGGCAUGCCAAAUGUGCUCUUGCCAUCAUGCCCAAUUCGAAGGCAGAUAUCAACUCUCAUCUUGCAGAUGUAUCAUUUAAUCUUGUCCGAUCACUCUGUAAGGCAGGACUUGCUUUUGAUGCUGCACAGGAAUGUGAAGAUCUGAAGAGAAAAGGUUUUCUUGAUAUCAAAGGAUUGCAAAUAUAUGCUGUUAUAAUGUGGAAACUUGGACAAUAUGAUUCAGCUCUCACCAUUGCUAGAAGUUUGGCCAAAAAUGUCUUAACCAUGAACCAGACAGGUGUAGCUGCUGCUAUAGGACUAAUAAGCUCGUUAAUCUACAGCAUUUCAGGAAAGGAAUCUGCUAUUGCAGUGAUACAGAAACUCCCCGGUCAGUUUCUGGAAAGUGAUAGAAUGAGACUAAUUAUCUCUGCAUUAAGUGCUUUAGGGCCAAGCAUGCAGCUGCAGUUGUCUCUACCAAGUAUGUUUCAGACAGUGGUAUCCUAUGGUGUGGUCAAUGAAAUUCACUCAAUCAUUGCUCUCAGCAAGAUGAUUAGCAGUGAGUUAAACCAAGAUUUGAGAAUUGAUCAUGGGGUGAAUUACUUGAGAAAAGUUCUUCACAUGUAUCCUGACAGCUCUUUAUUAAGAAGCCAACUGGGUUCACUUUUACUAUCCAGAGGAGACAGGAUGGCUCCUCAUAAAGCAGUUGAGUGCGCUCCUUUAUCUGAUGGUCAGACAGCCAAGCCGGGUUUUAAAUCACCGGACGUAAUUCAUGGUGCUGCAGUAGUUUCUUGCUACGCUUGCCGUUCUACUAUUCCGAAGUUUUCUUUCUCAACCUGUCCUGUUCAGCAUAUGCAUCAAAAGUCGAGAGUAUAUCAUCUUCAAAGAUGGCUGCAUCGAGAACCAUGGAACAGAACUGCACGAUAUCUGCUUAUACUCAACCUUCUGCAGAAAGCUCGUGAAGAAAAGUUUCCUGAACGUCUGUGUAUUAUUUUAAAACGGUUGUUAAAGGAUGCUCUUUCUAAUGAAAGUUACUUGGAAAAGAAUAAACAAUGUCAGUAUGAAAAGUUCAUUCUUCUACUCUCUGCUUCAGAGAUCAGUUUGCAAUCUCGGGACUUUCUUGAGUGUAUCAGUUGUGCUAAGGAGGCAUUAGGUGUUAAUCCUUUGAACACUGAACCCUUCUUUGCACACCUACAACUGUGUCGUGCCUAUGCACUUCAAGGGAAUAUUUCAAACCUUAGGGAUGAAUAUGCGAACUGCUUGCGGAUCAGUACAACCAAUGAAAUUGGUUGGGUAAUGCUUAAAUACCUUGAACCUAGUUGUCAGUUGGAGGACUCAUCUGAUGCAAUAGUGGUAAACCUCCAAAAGUGCAUCGAAAGGAAAGGUAAUUCCUCGAAUUAUUGGGUAGGACUAUUAUAUUUAGCUUGUGCUCAAUGCUUUGUAUGGGCUGAAGACUACGUAAGUGCGGAGCAAGCUCUUGCACAGGCUUGUGCUGAAGUGGAUGCUGACAGCUGCCUCUUGCUUUGUCAUGGUGUAAUCUGUAUGGAACUUGCUAGGCGGGAAUGUGUUCCUCAGUUUCUAUCUCGUGCUUUAUCUAGCCUCACAAAGGCACAGAAGGCCUCACCAACUCCUUUACCUAUUGUCUCCUUAUUGCUGGCUCAAGUAGAGGCCAGCCUAGGUUCCAAAGCUAAAUGGGAGAGAAAUCUCCGUUUAGAAUGGUCCUCUUGGCCGCCAGCUAUGAGGCCUGCUGAGUUGUACUUUCAAAUGCACUUGCUUGCGAUGCAGUCAAGUGCAGUUUCUGGCCAACACUCUGGUGUGGAGUCAUCACAAAGCCCGGAGAGGUGGCUUCUUCGUGCGAUACAUCUGAACCCGUCAUGUUUGAGAUAUUGGAAGGUUUUGCAGAAGCUCGUAGACAGCUAAUCACUUAAUCAUCUAGAUUAUACAAUUCCAGCAAAUGCUCUUCGCUCCUUAUUAGCAGCUGAUUGUGUUCUCCCGUAUGGUGGCUAAUUACAGUUCAUAUGGAAUCAGGAUGUGGUGUGCAGCAGCUAGUGGUGGGGUGGGGGGAAUGUUUCUAUGAUUCAAAAUUUUUUCCGAUUUCCGAUCCGAUUCUCCCUGCCCUGUUCUUACAUAGGAUCGAUCGGGGAGGGUGUGGUUGGUAGGAACUCGGAAGUUGGAAGGAUCCGUUGUGUGGGGAUGAGGUUGUGCACCAAUCGGAGGCCAUGUAUGACUCUCUCUCUUCCCCUUCUAGGUUAUCGAACGACUCCGUGGCACAUGUCAAAAGGGAAAGAGAGAGCCAAGUGGACUGGCGUGGAAAGGUAUGUGAUUCUCGUCAUUUCCGUGGGAAUCAACUCCAUUACCGGAGCAAACUAUAAAGAAUGCAUAGGGAAUUAGUCAUAGCCCAUGGAGAAUCAAAAAAAAAGAAGAAAAGGGGAAGGAAAAAAGAAAGUUGUGUAUCAAUAACAAUUCCAUUGGUUGCUUUUGCCAUUGCUGUUGCACAGAAGAGUAAGACUUAGAGAAGAGCGGAUCAUUGCUGGCUGCAAUAAAGCAACGGAGGAGUGGGGAGUGAGGACCACACACCCGCCCGCAGCACUCUUGAAUCUUGAGAGAGAGAGAGAGAGAGAGAGAGAGAGAGAGAGAGAGAGAGAUGUUGGAUGAUCAGCAGUUGUCCCUUCUGGGUCAGGCAUGCAUGCAUGGAUGCUUUUACUUAAUUGCCUCCUCCGCUUUUGUGUC